rnacentral:siRNA from 1 species
GGAUUGGCUCUGAGGGCU